rnacentral:rRNA from 1 species
AAGUCGAACGAACGGAGGAUGAGCUUGCUCUUCCAAAGUUAGUGGCGGACGGGUGAGUAACACGUGGGCAACCUGCCUGUAAGUUGGGGAUAACUCCGGGAAACCGGGGCUAAUACCGAAUGAUAGAGUGUGGCGCAUGCCACGCUUUUGAAAGAUGGUUUCGGCUAUCGCUUACAGAUGGGCCCGCGGUGCAUUAGCUAGUUGGUAGGGUAAUGGCCUACCAAGGCAACGAUGCAUAGCCGACCUGAGAGGG